rnacentral:rRNA from 1 species
UACGUAGGUGGCAAGCGUUGUCCGGAUUUACUGGGCGUAAAGAGCGCGCAGGCGGUCGGAUCAGUCGAAUGUGAAAGCCCCCGGCUCAACUGGGGAGGGUCAUUCGAUACUGUUCGACUCGAAGGCAGGAGAGGGAAGUGGAAUUCCCGGUGUAGUGGUGAAAUGCGUAGAUAUCGGGAGGAACACCAGUGGCGAAGGCGACUUCCUGGCCUGUUCUUGACGCUGAGGCGCGAAAGCUAGGGGAGCAAACGGG